UACGUAGGGUGCAAGCGUUGUCCGGAAUUAUUGGGCGUAAAGGGCUCGUAGGCGGUCCAUCGCGUCGGGAGUGAAAAGCUGGGGCUUAACCCCAGUCCUGCUUCCGAUACGGGUGGACUAGAGGUAGGUAGGGGAGAACGGAAUUCCUGGUGUAGCGGUGAAAUGCGCAGAUAUCAGGAGGAACACUGGUGGCGAAGGCGGUCUCUGGGCCUUACCUGACGCUGAGGAGCGAAAGCAUGGGGAGCAAACAGG
rnacentral:rRNA from 1 species